UCGUACUCGUCGGGUAUCGGGUAU
rnacentral:miRNA from 1 species